CUCUUCCUUUCUAGGGCAGUAACCAAGAAGCCUCAAAUUAUUUGGAUCAUAUUCAAAAGGCUGUGCAUUGAAAAUGGCUUUCUAGUUCUCUGAACUCAAUUAUUCUAACCCUAAGAAAGAUCUAAUGACGAAGUAAUGAAGACAAGUGGCAGACUGCAAGAAGCAUUCUGUGGAAUCUUACUGUGCAAAAGAGAGAAAAGUCAACAAUGGUCUGGUCAUGGUGAGGAAAGGAAGUUUCGUAAAAGUUCAACGAAGAGGAGAGACAGGAAAAAAGCAACCAAGCACAGUUUCUGAAUUGUUGGUCUACAAAAUGAAAGUCUAAUUUUUCCAUCAGUCCAAGCAGACUUCGUUGUAACCGAAGGCUGGCCACCCCGGGAAGUCUCGGAAAACGACGUGUUUCUUGAGGUACUUUCUUCCUCAUCGGACAACUCGGACUGCAUCUUUUUGUCUUCUUCAGAGAGGCGGUCCACAAGCU